UAAAGUAAGGUAACUGCAGGUGCAACAGUACCUGUCUCAAUUGACCAAUCACAGAGAGGGAGGGCGUGUCAGCAGCAGGUGAACUAUAAAUGAAUGAAGUCAUCACUCACAUUGUGUUUUAGACAGAGAUGCAGUGCUAUGUGAUGUGGGCUUAGUUUCAACCACAAAGUUGCUCUACUGUGUGUUUGGAAAGAAACUUAAUUGGAGAGUCCCUGACAUUCCUGCCUAGGACUGUGCCGGAGAUUAACAAGACAUAAUGGCAGACAAGUUUCCUUGGUGGAAAACCUUAACUGGAAAAAACAAGAAUAUUCUGAAAGAAGUCCAGCAAGAGUUUGCAAAUCCGGACAAAAAAUCCGCGAAACAAAGCAGCACUGACAACAAAAACAUCAACACGAUCGGCGACGAGGCAUUCGACGACUCCCAACUGGAGACGGUCAUCAAUGAACACACAUUCCGCAGACUCGUGAAAGUGUCACGGUCCGGCCGCUUCAGACAGAAGGACCGAGUGAGGGGCACAAUGCCUGAAAACAACUUUUUUGAUAGAAACACUGCUGCUGCAAAGUAAAAAAAACAUGUUAUGACAAAACAGGACAAAACUGCAAUUCCCUAGCAACAGUCGACUACAGCGCUUCUUUAAAUGGAACCCCCGAGCGGCGCGACUCGUUUUGUCGCGUCGUUCGCUUCGAGUGAAGGAAAACAUCAAUGAAGCUUUUCACUUUAAUUUGAGUGACUGACACUGAUAGCUGACCUGUUGCAUUGUUCCAGUGAUCUGGAGCUGGGAUUUGUCUCUAAAAAUUAGCCUAUCUUAGAGACACUGAAUGCCUGAUGCUUGCACAUCUCAUCCCACAUAAAAAUACUGUAGUAUACUUUAAAUUUUAAUAUAAGAAAGUAUAUCAAUUUCUAGAUAUGGUUUUGAACUAUAUAGGCUUACAGUAUUAUUAAAUAUUAGACAAGGCCUACUGUACAUUAAGUUAACAAAGUGUAGUAUUAGUAAAGUACACUACAGUUUACUAAAUACUAAAGUAUACUUCAGCAUUUCUACAUGUGAGAUAAAUUGAUGAAAUAUUCGUUUAUUGGCCUCUGUAGGCUUACGAUCCAGAUCAGCACAAGGCCAGGUUGGGAUGUUUGCAAGUUAAAUUUGUUAUUAGUUUUUUUUUCAAAAGGCUUUUAUUUAUGGCUUCAAAAGGGAGUUUGAAUUGUUUAAAGAGGACAUAUCAUGAAAAUCUGACUUUUCCAUGCCUGUUUAAGUGCUGUAAUUGGGUCCCCAACAUAGAAAUGUGAAAAAGAUCAACCCAGUAACUUUGUUUUGGUAAACCAUUCUCUGCAAGCAUGUGAAAAAAUAGGUGAUUGGAAUUUGGCUCCCCUUGUGAUGUCAGAGGGGGCGCAGAGAAAUGCACCCUACACCAUGGCAAAUGCCAAAUAGUUUGAGAACCACUGUUUGGGCAGAAUAUAUGUAUAUAAGUUAUAGAAUAUUUAAGUUUUACUCUUUCGGGUCUACUUGAAGGAAGAUUUGGUUUUAGUCAUUGUACCAGUAAGAAGCUUGUAGUUUUUUAAUUACCAGUAUAGUCUGGAUGAAAAUGAAGGACACGGCCAAUGUAGUGAGCAUGUUUUUAUGUAAAGGCUAACAUGAUACAGAAUUUGCCAGUAUUGAUAAUAUAUUAAUUGACAGUGCUCUAUAUUUGACAAUAAUUUUCCAGUAAUUACAAUAGCAGCAGUCAUAGGGGAGACCCCAAAACACUGGUUAACCCUAAAAAUGUAUACUGUAGGCCUCCUUUAGUGUUCUAGUGUAUAUUUUUCACAUGAAGUCAAUGUAAUAUCUGACAUGAUCUUUUUGAUCAUGUGAGCUGAUUGGUUUGUUUUUUUACAUUUAUUAUUCGUACUUCAUUUCAUUGAGAAUAGAAAUGGAAUUGCAACAGUUUAUGUUACUGUGUAAUGACAUAGUAUAAGAAUGGAAUGUUGUUAAAUGUGGAUGAGCAGUUGCUGUGGUAUGCAAAUUAUAAUACAACAUGCCACACCAUAAUACCAUAAAA